rnacentral:rRNA from 1 species
UACGAAGGGAGCUAGCGUUGUUCGGAAUCACCGGGCGUAAAGCGCACGUAGGCGGAUUUGCCAGUCAGGGGUGAAAUCCCGGGGCUCAACCUCGGAACUGCCUUUGAUACAGCAAGUCUUGAGUUCGAGAGAGGUGGGUGGAAUUCCUAGUGUAGAGGUGAAAUUCGUAGAUAUUAGGAAGAACACCGGUGGCGAAGGCGGCCCACUGGCUCGACACUGACGCUGAGGUGCGAAAGCGUGGGGAGCAAACAGG